rnacentral:rRNA from 1 species
GUAGGUGGCAAGCGUUGUCCGGAAUUAUUGGGCGUAAAGCGCGCGCAGGCGGUUCCUUAAGUCUGAUGUGAAAGCCCACGGCUCAACCGUGGAGGGUCAUUGGAAACUGGAGAACUUGAGUACAGAAGAGGAAAGCGGAAUUCCACGUGUAGCGGUGAAAUGCGUAGAGAUGUGGAGGAACACCAGUGGCGAAGGCGGCUUUCUGGUCUGUAACUGACGCUGAGGCGCGAAAGCGUGGGGAGCAAACAGGAUUAGAUACCCUGGUAGUCCACGCCGUAAACGAUGAGUGCUAAGUGUUAGGGGGGUUUCCGCCCCCCUUAGUGCUGCAGCUAACGCAUUAAGCACUCCGCCUGGGAGUACGGCCGCAAGGCUG